GAACGCACCUUGCGCUCCUUGGUAUUCCGAGGAGCAUGCCUGUUUGAGUGUCAUUAAUAUAUAUAUCAAACUUCUCUUGUUGAGUGGUUUGGAUGUGGGGGUUUGCUGGCCUUGUAAAGGGUUCAGCUCCCCUGAAAUGCAUUAGCAGAACAACCCUGUUCAUUGGUGUGAUAACUAUCUACGCUAUUGAAUGUAAGGGGCAGUUCAGCUUUCUAACAGUCCUCGGACAAUUCAUCAUUAAUGUGACCUCAAAUCAGGUAGGACUACCCGCUGAACUUA
rnacentral:misc_RNA from 1 species